GGAGCACAGAACAUUAUCUGCAUGUGUGUUCAGGCUCGCCACACUCCUGACAAGAACACGUUCUCAGCCGCACAUGCGAAAGUGGCCGACGGCACGAACGAAUGAUGCGCCGGGAUCGUGAGUCAACAGAAAUUCAAACAGGCAAAAGACAGACAGAAGAGACCGCCGCGAUUCCUCUGCUCAGUCCCAGACAUCUUAACAGAUAAGACUUUGAGCACCCAGGCUGCACUGAAACACCUCUUCCCAGAAGGACACAAGGAAGGGAUCCGUCUGGGCUUCCGAUCUCGAUGGAUUCAAGCGAAGCAGAAAGUCUCGCAAUCCCGGAAUGUUUGCCUGCUGAAUGGCAAAGCCAACCGUACCUUGGAGGAUGUGGUGGUACCUUUUGGGGGUGGAAAGUACAGCUGCUGUGCUCCAAGCUUCACUGGCUAACCACUGUAUCCCAGUGAGCUCGCUUCUGUAUGUAACAGAGAUGGAUGGAAAUAAAAUCACUGAAAGUGU